rnacentral:rRNA from 1 species
UACAGAGGUCUCAAGCGUUGUUCGGAAUUACUGGGCGUAAAGGGCUCGUAGGCGGCCAACUAAGUCGGAUGUGAAAUCCCCAGGCUUAACCUGGGAACUGCAUCCGAUACUGGAUGGCUUGAAUCCGGGAGAGGGAUGCAGAAUUCCAGGUGUAGCGGUGAAAUGCGUAGAUAUCUGGAGGAAUACCGGUGGCGAAGGCGGCAUCCUGGACCGGCAUUGACGCUGAGUGAGCGAAAGCUAGGGGAGCAAACGGG